rnacentral:rRNA from 1 species
UGGGGAAUUUUUGGACAAUGGGGGCAACCCUGAUCCAGCAAUGCCGCGUGUGUGAAGAAGGCCUCGGGUUGUAAAGCACUUUUGUCCUGGAAGAAAUCGCACCUGAUAAUACCGGGUGCGGAUGAGGUACCGGGAGAAUAGCGAACCAAGGCGUAACUACGUGCCAGCAGCCGCGGUAAUACGUAGGGUCCAAGCGUUAAUCGGAAUUACUGGGCGUAAAGCGUGCGCAGGCGGUUGUGCAAGACCGAUGUGAAAUCCCCGGGCUUAACCUGGGAAUUGCAUUGGUGACUGCACGGCUAGAGUGUGUCAGAGGGGGGUAGAAUUCCACGUGUAGCAGUGAAAUGCGUAGAGAUGUGGAGGAAUACCGAUGGCGAAGGCAGCCCCCUGGGAUAACACUGACGCUCAUGCACGAAAGCGUGGGGAGCAAACA